ensembl:lncRNA
AUGCCAUCUUGCGAUUUUGUUUUUCUUUUUUGUUUCAACCAUGUAAUAAAAAAAAAGGCUGACUUUUCUUUUAACAAUAAUAAAUACUUUCAAAUACCUUUUUCCUCACAACUGCAAGCUCAGACUUACAAGCACAUACAGGAGACUCUCCAUUUCCUAAAGAUGUUUCAAAGCCACACGAACACGGAUCCGCUGCUACAGAACAUUUACAUCUAUCUCAAAACAAAGCAGAACCUUCAACACGAAUCAACCCAGUGCAACACAGUAUUACAGCAUGAAGUCGACACACACAGGCUGCUCAUUUCAGCCCAGAACAGACCCAGAGCAGGAAAUAACUGCAGCAUUGAGUAAUGAAACCCUGGAGCUCCGGACAGCUGCUCUGCUCUCAAUCUACAGACACACCACGAGUUCUCAACACCAGAACGAGGAGAUUCAUUCUUCCUCUAGAAACAAAUCACUUCAGCCUCUAAAUGAGUGAGACUAAUCAGUACAGAAUCAAUAUCGGCAGUGGAUUAAAAACUACUGAAAACAUGCUUUCUGACAAAGACAACUGAAUGCACUGAUUAAAGACUUUAAUAAAAGUUAAAUACAUUGGGCUUUUAACCUUUUU